rnacentral:misc_RNA from 1 species
AAUCCUUAGAUUGUGCGCAGGCGCAGUCAUGGCCUGACGUGGAACAAGAAAGAACAGAAAAAUGCGAAAAAUAGUAAUAUAUUGUUUAUUUAGCGGAAUUCUAGGGAAAAUAGGUGCAAAUCUAUCAGAUAAAAGAUUAUGCUCGGAACCCUCAUGCAGCGCGGAGUUGGGGCUCGGAAGAACAACGAUCAAAUACCAGGCGGUUCACGAUGGGAUGCUCAGUUUCCCACCACACAAGGAGGUUCGAAUAUUCUCUCGUGGAGCAGGAUCUAAUCCAGAUCUCUGGGGGGUCAUGAUCGAUGGAAGACGAGGCUAUGUGAACAAGAGACACAUUCAAGAGACUAAAGUAUUUAUUUCCAAUCCAUCAGUAGAGGUCGACCUCGAGCCAAACUUUAAGCCUCAACCUCCUCAGAUUGAGCCCUCCUUGGAUAACAGGGUUCCGUCUGAUAGUCCGUCAUCCCAGCCUCUGGAAUUAUCUCAACCUCUGGUUUCCAGUACAGAUCCACCAUCAAAGAUAAACCCCACCCUAUCGCCAACACAAGCUCGGGAAAAUUUCGAGGUUGUUGACGGAACCACGUUGUUUCUUGAGAACGAUGUGAAAAAAAUAAACAAUUCUCCGCCGGCGAACAACACACCAGAAAAUAUCCAACCCACACAGACCGCAACAACCGCCGGCGGAGUAACUUCCGCCGCAGAUAGCAAUGUGGCGGCAGAUAAAACUCCAGAGAUUGAGAGCUCAGUUCUUUCUCCAGAAUUCCAGGAAGUUGGUGAGAAGUCGGAUAGUUCAGCUCCACUCCCUCCUGGACCCCCAUCCCCCACCCAGCCACAGGGCCACAGCCAACCCAUUGACACCACUGGUGGCGUUUCUGGUGAGGUGAUCAGGGAUACGCCUAGAACAAUUGCCACGCCCUCCACAUCAGCAACUAACCCUGAAGCUCAAGAAGAGGUAGAGGAGGAAGAUGUUACGGCUGAUUAUGAAAACUAUGAUGAUGAUGAUGAGUUUAAUGAGUCUCUAAGUGAUCUGGAAAAUAUUCUUGAUGAUCCUGUUCCAGAACAAGCAAAAGAACCUCCUGCUUCUGUACAAAACCCAACCCCAGGUCCAGUUCAAACCCCAACUCCUGCUCCAAUUCAAAACCCAACUCCAGCUCCAGUUCAAAACCCAACUCCUGCUCCAGUUCAAAACCCAACUCCAGCUCCAAUUCAAAACCCAACUCCAGCUCCAGUUCAAAACCCAAAUCCAGCUCCAGUUCAAAACCCAACUCCAGCUCCAAUUCAAAACCCAGCUCCAGUUCAAAACCCAACUACUGCUUCAGUUCAAAUCCCAACUCCUCUUCCAGUUCUAAACCCAUCUCCUGCUCCUGUUCAAAACCCAACAUCUGCUCCUGUUCAAAGCCCAACUCCUGCUCCUGUUCAAAACUCAACCCCUUCUCCUGUUCAAAACCCAGUUACUGGUCCUGUUGAAAUACCGCCAUCAACUCCUGCUCCCAUUCAAAAACCAAACCUUGUUCCUGUUCAAACCCCAACUCCUGCUCCUGUUCAAAACCCAACUCAUGCCCAAGAUCAAAACCAAACUCCUACUAAUGUUUAUACUCCAAUUCCUGCUCCUGCUUCUACACAGAAACCUAAUACUGGAAAUCACCAAGGUACUCCAGAUUCUCCUGAUCAACCAUCACCAGCUUUGGCAUCUACUGCAGAACCCACUCAGGCUCCCAUUGAAGAACCUAAAUCCACCCCUAAAUCUAUUCAAGAUCCCACUCAUACUCCUAUCGAAGAACCCGAAACCACCUUUUCUUCUACUCCUUCUGGAGAGGCACCUAGUUCUGAAGAGGCACCUAGUUCUGAAGAGGCACCUAGUUCCGAAGAGGCACCUAGUUCCGAAGAGGCACCUAGUUCCGAAGAGGCACCUAGUUCCGAAGAGGCACCUAUUUCCAAAGAGGCAACUAUUUCCGAAGAGGCAUCUUUUCCUUUGAAAGAGGCACCUAAUCCUUCUGAAGAAGCACCUAGUCCUUCUGAAGAGGUGCCUACUCUUAAAGAGCCAUAUAAUUUUCGAGAAGCAUUUACUCUUGAUGAGGCACAGCAAUACUUGCAGUCUAAAUAUAAACAGUCGAAAGAUAAAAAGAUUAUGCUGAAUACUGAUGACGCAACAACUGCUGAAAAGACAACUGAUUCUGAUGUUGUAUCACCAUCUCUUGCUCCGGAUACUAACAGUGAAGAAGGAAAGGAAGCGCAAAAUGAAAAUAAAGAAUCAGGUAGAGCUCAUGAGGAUCAUAAAGAUGAUGAGGAAGAGUCUGAAGAUGGUGAGACUGGAGAUGUACAAGAUCAAGAGCUAGAUGAAGCUCGUCAGGAUGAUGACUCUUCUAAAGCAUAUUAUUACUCGACUGAGGAAAAUUAUGAUACCACUGAAGCAUACUAUUACUACGAGGAUGAUCAUGAGAAAGGGGAGGAAAUUUAUAAGGAAUCUAGCAAUGAGGAAUCUGACGAAAAACAAGAAUUUAAUACAGUAAAUCCCCAAGAAACGCAUACAGAAAAUCCUCAAGAUAUCCAUUCAGAAAAUGCGCAAGAAAACAAUCCAAAUAUUCAGCAAGAAGAUUUCAUUUCAGAAACUUCACAAGAAAGUGCGCAAGUCCAAGUCGAGGAGAAAAAGAGCGAAGGAUUUUUCAGCGGUUGGUUUGGAUCUUCAGAAGAACCUGCCAAAGAGGAGCCAGCUGCUGCUAUUGAACAAAAUGUUAAGCCAGUAGAAGAAACUCUUCCAGAAGGAGGAGACACAUCUUCAGGAUUUAUCCCCAACUAUUCAGGAGAAAUUAAAUUCUUUGAACCCGGGGAUGUAAAAGAUGAAGGAGUGGAAGGCCUCAAGGAUGGAAUUGUUAACGCUCCUGAAAUCCUAGAUACCCCUAUGGUUCAAGAAGAUGGUUCUGUCCAAACUGAUAACUUUCAAGAAGGUUUAAAUCCCGAAACUGGUUCUUAUCCACCUGACAAUCAAGUUCAAACCGGUUCAGUCCCAGAUUCCGUUGAACAAUACAACUAUCCUGAUAAAGCUGCUUUUAACAAUGUGAACGAUCAUUACCAAGCCGAAAACACUGAGAAUAAUUAUGGUGUAGAUCAGUAUGGGAAUGCUGUAGAUCAGAAUGGGAAUACCGGAGAUCAGUAUGGGAAUACCGGAGAUCAGUAUGGGAAUGCUGGAGACAUUGGGGACUCGCAUGAAUCCGGAGAGAACUAUGCAAGUGAUCCCUAUGCUAACCAAUCAAAUACAGAUUUGACCGGAGCGGAUUCGGCAAUAGAUUUACCAAGCUCCCAUCCUUCAGACGAUGUCGCCCAGCCCCGUGGAGGUCUAAUGGGAGAGGAGGUCAUUCCUGGUGGUCAAUUUGCCGAAGGAGGUCCUAUGGACAGCCUGCCUGACAUGCAUGCUGAUGCCCCUUAUACAGCAUUCCUUCUGGACUAUGUUCCUGGAUGGUUACAUGAGAGUGUACAUGAAGCAGGAGGAAUUAAUGCGGAUAGAGCCCUUCUCCUUGUCAUUAUAGCCUUCACUAUGCUACUACUACACCUUAUAAACUCCUGUGUAGCUAGAAGUACGCGAGAGAAACCUUUACUGGCGAAACUAGCAGAGCUUGAUAGGAAACUAUUCCAGAGUACUAACGAAGUUCUUGUACUCCGUAAAGAGAUGAGUGAGAAUACUGGGUCUAUGUCUACAGUAUCAUCUGCUCAGGUCCAAGAACUAGAAAUACAGCUGGAGCAAGCAAACAUUGAGAAAACUCAGCUACUUAAUUAUCAGCAGGAAAUUCAGAAAAGAUGUUCCCAGUUUGAGGAAGAAAUGUACCGUGCAGUUGCAAUUCAGCAAGAUAAGGAAAAGGAGGCCGAGCUUGCAAGGGAGGAGAAGGAGGCUGCUCUUGAGGAGCUCAAGUUGGCGCAGGAGAUGGUGGAGGAGAUGAUCAAUUCUCAGAAUAAUAAUCAAUCAGAUGAUAAACUAUUAGAGUUGGUGCAGAAGCUGCAGAAGCAGCUUGAGAGUCAGCAGGAUAUACUCAAGCAAUAUGAACCAAAAAUGAAAAAGAAGGAAAAGGAAACUAAAGAACUUUCCAAGGAGGUGAAACAGCUCCGAGCUGACCUAGCGAAUGCGAACCUAGCCAAGGAUAAAUUAACAAGAGAGAUGGAACAGAAGGAUCAGAUCGCAGAAGAGAAAUUCAAACUUUUAGAGAACGUGACAAAGAAUGAGCAGGAGUGGCAAAGUUUAACCGAACUACUUCAAUCCCAGCUGGAGGAGAAAACUGAACAGUAUUCAGAUCUUGAGACAGAACUUAGUACAAUCAAGUCUAGGUUGAGUAUAUAUAAGAAUGAACUAGAAAGUAAAGAAGAACAAGUUGAGGUUCUUGAAGAGACAAUUCUACAGAUGAAGAAAAAGAAAGGAAAAAGUGAUGAUGAGAAGGCUGAGGGCUGGGAACUAGGAGGAGGAGAAGGGGAUGGAGAAGGUUGGGAGGUUGAUGAUCUAGGAGAGGUUCUGGAUGAGGAGGAUGGUGAGGAGGGUAGUGAGGAGGGUAGUGUCGAAGUUGCCAAGUAUAAGGUUGCUGCUAAGAGAGCUACUAACAAAAUGAACAGGAUGGAAGAUGAGUUGAAAACGAUUAGAGAAAACCUUUCUCAAGCAUCAGCUCAGUUGUCCACUAAAGAGGAGGAAGUGACCUUGUUACGAAGCGCCCGUGAUGAAACCGUGAAAGAACUUGUGGAAACCAACAGGCGGCUUGAGGUUCUUGAACAGUUCUUUAAUAAGAAGGAAGCUGAACUGCAGAAACAGUUGGGAUUACAGAGUGCGAGAUUUGGUGAUGUAAGCAGUAGUGCUGACACUACAGCCAGACAGUUAAUAUCCGUCACAGAAGAACUUGAUUCCACGAAGGGAGCUAUUAAGGUUUUGAAAUCUGAACUUGAAGAACAGGAGAAAAGUUUGAAAGCUGCUGUAGCCCUUCAGGAGAAGAAAGCGCAUGAGAACUGGGUUGCCGCGCGACAAGCUGAAAGGAAAUUAACUGAUCUCCAGACUGAGGUUGGAACCUUGAGAAACCGUCUGACAGUUACAGAGUCGCGAGCAAACACUCUUGAGCAGGAGAAACUAGAUCUACAGGAUACCAUUCAGAAUAUACAGCAGGGAAAACCAGGAGUAGGAGGUGUUGUCCGAAGUAAAGCUGUUUCCUUUGCUCCUGAUACAGAGUCAGAAGCUGUGAAUAACGGUGUGAACGGGACAAAUGGGGGAUGUUCAGAGACAAGUAGUAUUGCUGACCCCUCCUCCCUACCCCCACUACCAGGACUACCAGGACUACCCGGACUAGCAGGGGUACCUGGUAUACCUGGACUACCUGUACUAUCCGGACUAUCCCUACCUAAUAUGAUGGUUCCCUCACUCCCUAUGUUUGGAGCUAUGAUGGAUGCACGACCCCCACCUAUUGGACGCAUGUCACCGCCAGCUAGAGACAGAGAUCAUUCCUUCCGUUCCAGCUCCCCUCCACGAGGCCGAGAUUAUUCCCCGAGCUCGAGGUCGGAGCGAAGGAUCGGAGGUCGGCGACCUCCAUCUCCCACCAGAUCAGAUAGAGGCUACUACAGGGAUUCAUCCCCAGAUAGGAGUUUUCGCCGGGAGGAUCGAUUUGAUCGUAGAGGUUCAAGAGAAGGAGAUUAUGAUCAUCGUAGGGAUUUCGAUCGUCGGCAUGAAUAUGAUGAUCGGCGAGAUGAUGCUUAUUAUGAUCGACGAGGACGGGAUCACCUCAAAGAACCGAUAUCAGGUCCUAAAACAUCCUCUCCAUUGGAUUCAGGCAGUAGGGCUUUCGGAGUUUGAGAUUAUUAUGUUAAACAAGAUUUGAAUCCGUUACGGUGUGGACUGUUCCAGAACAAAGUUAAUUUAUGUUCCUGGUUUAGUUUACUGUUCCAAUAAUCACUUUGUUCCUGGAUUUAGAACUACCAUUGUAUUCCUUGCAUUGUAAAUCAAGUUGUAACUUACUGAAUUAUUGAGGGAUUAAUUUAUCCCCUAAAUUCCUAACUUUAUUCAUACUGUUACAGUGUUCCACUGUUAAUUUCUGCAGUGAUGGUUCAGAUAAACUUCUGUAUUGUAAACUAUAGAUUAAUUGAAUACAACUGUCCUAAUAUUAACUGAGAAAGGCACCGGUUUAUUGGCAUUUCAGUGGUUCCACAGGAAUCUGAGAUUUUUGUAUUCUCUUAAAGUUUAACGUUCUGCUAAUGAUUAGAAACCCCAACAAAACUGUGAGUAAAAAUUAAAAUUAAUUUUUUUUCGCGUUGGCAUUUUUAUUUGUGUCGAAAUUAAUAGAGCAGACAUUAGAGAAGUUUUAAACAAAUUAAACAUUUUCGAUUUUUUGGAGUUCUCUAAAAAUUCCUAUGUUCUGAAUUAGUUAUAUUUUCAGAAGAAUUAAUACAAGGCUACUGCCGCGAUACUUAAUUUCUGUGUCAAUAUGUUGAAGAACAGCAAUGAUUUGUGAAAUAUAUGCAGUUUGCUUAAUAAUCCCCCCUUCCAUUGUACUAAUAGUUUUAUCAAUUCUUAAAUUUAUAUCGAGCAUUUUUAAUAAGCAAUAUUUUCACUAAAUAUUAUUUGUAUGAAGUAUUUAUUAUGGUUUUAUUUAUAAAUAAAGAAUUCUAUUGA